UACGGGGGUGGCAAGCGUUGUUCGGAAUUACUGGGCGUAAAGCGCGCGUAGGCGGCUUUGCAAGUCGGGUGUGAAAUCCCCAGGCUUAACCUGGGAACUGCAUUCGAGACUGCAUUGCUAGAGUAUGGGAGAGGGAAGUGGAAUUUCCGGUGUAGCGGUGAAAUGCGUAGAUAUCGGAAGGAACAUCAGUGGCGAAAGCGACUUCCUGGACCAAUACUGACGCUCAUGUGCGAAAGCGUGGGGAGCAAACAGG
rnacentral:rRNA from 1 species